UCUGUGUAAAUGGUGUUAGACAAAACAUUAUGUCUCUGAAACAACAAUGACGGUUAACUUUUUUGUUUUCUUCUAAUUACAACAUUGCUGUAGGCAAAUGAACUUGCAGUUGACUCAGAGCAGCAGCACAGGCCAGACCAACAGCAGUACCGGCCUGAGAGCAGACCUUCUUCGAUCUAGAAUAGCCCAUCCCAGCCCAGACUACAACAGUCCCAGAAGCAGCAACGAUCCACAGCAACUGAAUUUCUAUGUAGCAAGUGAAAGAGCCUUCAGAAAGGGCAGCAGGAAGGAAGAAAAUGUGUCAGAGGGAGGUGUCGCCCAGCAUUACAGUCCGGUGAUCAGCAUACACAUGCACAACCACGCACACACGCAUACACACAUGCUCAUACACUUAAACAUUUUCAUUCAGUUUCCCAAACACACUGUGGGGAGAAAAGCCUAACCAAACAUGUUAUGAAGAUAAACUACAGCCAAGAGACUUUUCCUUCAUAAUCAGCAUGUGCAAAAUGAACAGUUACUUGAAAAGAGCAUGGUAGUGAUGCAUCCAAGUCUGUAACAUGUAUUUUGUCUGAUGAAAGUUAAUUGUUUCCCCUGCGGGUAGAAAUAGUCCUGGCCACCUCAUUUAUGUCUAUCUGCUUUUGGUAAAUUAAGAAAAAAGGACAUUGUACCUUUUGGCUGUUUUGCCACCAGGAUUGAAAAUAAACACUUCGCUUGGAGUUUCA